UCGAGAAUAUUCGACAAUGGGCGAAAGCCUGAUCGAGCGACGCCGCGUGAGUGAAGAAGGGCUUCGGUUUGUAAAACUCUUUUCUGGAAGAUGAACCCGCAAGGGUGACAGUACUCCAGGAAUAAGGGGGUGCUAACUCUGUGCCAGCAGCCGCGGUAAUACAGAGCCCCCAAGCGUUAUCCGGAUUUAUUGGGCGUAAAGAGUCCGUAGGUGGAUCGUUAAGUUUCUCGUUAAAUUUCUAGAGCUUAACUUUAGAAGUGCGGGAAAAACUGGCGAACUAGAGAGCGUUCGGAGCUAAUGGAACGGUCGGUGUAGGGGUGAAAUCCGUUGAUAUCGACCGGAACACCAAAAGCGAAGGCAUUUAGCUAGGACGACCCUGACACUCAAGGACGAAAGCGUGGGGAGCAAAAAGG
rnacentral:rRNA from 1 species